rnacentral:rRNA from 1 species
GCACAGAGUUAGCCGUCCCUUCCUCUUUCGCUACAAUCAGCUCGCCAUCUUUUAAAUAGCGAGGUUUGUUCGCAAAUGACAGGGGUUUACGGGCCGAAGCCAUUCAUCCCCCACGCGGCGUCGCUCCAUCAGGCUUUCGCCCAUUGUGAAAAAUUCUCGACUGCUGCCACCCGUAGGUGUCUGGACCGUGUCUCAGUUCCAGUGUGGCUGGUCGUCCUCUCAGACCAGCUACCCGUCUUAGCCUUGGUGAGCCGUUACCUCACCAACUAGCUGAUAGGCCGCGGGCUUAUCAAAAAGCGUCAGGCCUUACGGUCCCCAACUUUAAUCAUCAAACGAUGCCGCCCGAUGAUCACAUCCGGUAUUAGCUCGCCUUUCAGCGAGUUAUCCCAAACUUUUUGGCAAAUUACCCACGUGUUACGCACCCUUGCGCCGCUCCCACUCGGCUACAUUGCUGCAACCGAAUGAGCGCUCGACUUGCAUGUCUUAUCCACGCCGCCAGCGUUCGUU